rnacentral:SRP_RNA from 1 species
GCUGGGCGCGGUGGCGCGUGCCUGUAGUCCCAGCUACUCGGGAGGCUGAGGUGGGAGGAUUGCUUGAGCCCAGGAGUUCUGGGCUGUAGUGCGCUAUGCUGAUCAGGUGUCUGCACUAAGUUCAGCAUCAAUAUGGUGACCUCCCGGGAGCAGGGGACCACCAGGUUGCCUAAGGAAGGGUGAACUGGCCCAGGUCGGAAACAGAGCAGGUCAAAACUCCUGUGCUGAUCAGUAGUGGGAUCGCGCCUGUGAAUAGCCACUGCAUUCCAGCCUGGGCAACAUAGCGAGACCCCGUCUCU